AAACAAAAUGUAUCACGCAAUGAAUCAAGUAAAUUUAGAUCGUUUAUAGCUUAACCCUUAUUAUUGACUAUGUUAUAAUAUAAUAUGCCACUACAAGAAAAAUGAGUUUUAAUAGCAGACCGGAAUAGCGUUUUUUACGAUUAUGCUAUAGUUGACAUACCCGUUAGUUUUAGAUAGCGUUUGUAUAUUUGAAAACGCUAUGAUAGAGUGGUAUAUUUGCAAACGUUAUGAUAACAUAUGGUUUUAUAUGUAUCACUUGGUUUUGAUAGCAAAACAUGAUUAAAAACGCUAUAUUUGGUUUUUAAAUCCCUAAACCCUAAAACAAGUUUUUAAACCCUAAACUCUAAAUACAAAUUUUAAACUCUAUUUUUAACACCAAAUCUUAAAUUUAACUUCAAAUGUUAGAUAUAAACUCAAAAAUUAAUCAUUUCCAAAAUUUUAUCUCAAAUCUUAAAAUCAAUAUUCCAAACCUUUAACUUUUAAACCCUAUACUCAUACAUUUAUUCUAACCUUCAAAUUUUAAAUAUAAAGUAAUUAAAAAAAUCUCAAACACUAAAUAAAAAUUCCAAAAAUUAUUUAUUUUUCAAAAAUUAAUAUUAAAUCAAUACUCUAAACCUUUAAUCCUCAAACCCUAUACUCAAACCUUUAUUCCAAACUCAUACUUUAAAUCUAAAAUCUAAAAACAAACUUUUCAAACCCUACACUCGAACAUUUAAACCUUUAAACUAAUUUCAUUUACUUAUACUCUUUUACUUUAAACCUUUAAACUAAUUUCAUAUUACAGUUUAAAAUUUUUGGACUUGGACUAAUGGUUAUAUACGAACCACACGAUCUUCUUUUGGAUCUAAAGUUAGUGAUCCACUAACUGUUUUCUGAUUGGUCAAUGUAGGGUGACAAAGAUCACUACUUUCAGCCUUUGAUAAAUAUUGAUCCAACGGCCACAAUUAAUUAAUUAAUUUUGCUAAUUUAUUUCUACCUCAGAUUUUUUGUUCUUUCCUUUCUAUUUUGUUCUUCUUCCCUACGCCAUCAACAUAUCUCUUUUUCUUUUCUGUAUCUGUGCACAUCUUUCUUUCUUAUUCUCUAAACCACCACCACCACCGUCUCUUCUUAUUCCUCUUGUUCAAAUGGCGGUGGACUCAAAAGAAGGAAGGAUGAGAAGACAACAUGGUCGAGAUCUGGAAAUCCAAGUGUAGGAGAGCUUUCUCAAGAAGUGUCGCGAAGGUCUUCAAUCUACACAGAAACUUCAAUAUGUUGCUUCUCCAUUGCUCAUCGAUCCAGAAACAGUUGGAGAGCUUGCUGUCUAUAGUUGGUGGAGUAUAGUCAGUGAAUAGAAAAUCUUGAAGCUUGAGACAACGGUGCGCGGAGAGGAUAGAUAAGCCAGAGACGAACUUGACGGUGUUGUAGGGGAUGAGCUUGGCAGUGGUGAGCCGAAGACGAGCUCGACGACAGUGAGUGGGAAGAGCCAGGGUGAUUCCGUCGUCGUCUCCGACGAAGAGAGACGCGAGGGCUUUGUUGUCACAGCGAAUGGUGGUUGACGGCGGAGUUAAGAAGCUUUAAAGCGGUAUGGUUUUAUUAUUAGGUUUAGUUAGCAAAUAGGUUUAGGUCUAAGCUUGGUUUAGUUUUGGUUUAUUUUCUUAUAUGUAAACCGUUUUUAGUUUAUGAAUAAUUCAAUUUAAAAUAUUUAAAAUAUUUUUUUCUAUUUUUUUUUAAUUUUUCAAUAAUGUAAUAAUAACAAUAAAAACACGCUAUUAAAGAA